rnacentral:rRNA from 1 species
UACGUAGGGUGCAAGCGUUAAUCGGAAUUACUGGGCGUAAAGCGUGCGCAGGCGGUUUUGUAAGUCUGACGUGAAAUCCCCGGGCUCAACCUGGGAAUUCGCGUUGGAGACUGCAAGGCUAGAAUCUGGCAGAGGGGGGUAGAAUUCCACGUGUGAGCAGUGAAAUGCGUAGAGAUGUGGAGGAACACCGAUGGCGAAGGCAGCCCCCUGGGUCAAGAUUGACGCUCAUGCACGAAGCGUGGGAGCAACAAGGAU